UACGGAGGGUGCAAGCGUUGUUCGGAAUUAUUGGGCGUAAAGGGCGCGUAGGCGGCUUCUUAAGUCAGAUGUGAAAGCCCGGGGCUUAACCCCGGAAGUGCAUUUGAAACUAAGUAGCUUGAGUAUGGGAGAGGGAAGUGGAAUUCCUGGUGUAGAGGUGAAAUUCGUAGAUAUCAGGAGGAACACCGGUGGCGAAGGCGACUUCCUGGACCAAUACUGACGCUGAGGCGCGAAGGCGUGGGGAGCAAACAGG
rnacentral:rRNA from 1 species